CAACAAACAGCAACCAACCUUGAGCUUUUAAGCUUGGCAUAAGUUAAAAAACUAAGCUUUCCACUGGACAUACUCUCUAAAGGAUAAGCAGCCGCUCGCCAUCAAAAAUUAGACAAAAUAACAAUUGUUGUUUGAAGACAGUAGUUUGCAUCUGUCAUGAUGGGAGCAAACACAGAAGGUUCCUAUUGUGACAUCACAGAAAGCUCUGUUCUUUGUGAAACCGCCAAGUAAUCAGCAUUGCAUUAUUUAUUUUUGGUUCGAAAUACAUCCAGCUCAUGACAAAAGUCGACACCCGAGGUCCGUCAUGUGAAUGGUAGGAGGGGACAGAAGAGCCUUUUGGGAUGACCCUCAUCGUCAUCAUCAUCAUGCCAUGCAGGUCUGCCGGUGCAAAUGUGUUACCUGGAUGGGCCUGAAUCCUCCCUUGAGAGCAGGAAAGAGAGAAAAGCCAAUUGCACUGCCCAGGCCCAGCAGAUGGGGACCCCUGCACUAAACACUCCAGACAGGCUUGUUUCUGUGUUUUAAUCAUCAUAAGAAACAGAGGACCUCUGGAAUGCAAAAUACGAUGCAACCGACGCUAACAAUGUGGCCUGGGUCAAAAGUCGUCAAUUCUCAGCUGGGCCUGCAUCGGAGAGAGAUGGUGGGAAGCACCACCUUGGCCUCUCGCACUGAAUGCUAAGCAGUGCCGCCAUUGUCUGAGAUUGCGCAGCAUCACACGCAUGCGCCGCAGGUUCCUCUGGCAACCAGGAACAGCAACAAACUACACAGACACUCACACACACUUUCAGGCAGCAUACCAUUCUGACGUUACAUGAGACUAGUUAACAUCCCAGCUAGCUAGCGUUUUAAUUUCUCAAAGUCAUUCAAACAAAGCAGAAAUGAUAAUCAAGCAUUGCUCAUCGGAAGAGGAAUGCUUUCAUGAAAAAGCUCUCAGAUCAAUAGCGCAGGUAUAUCAGACCACCAUCAGUCACAGGACACUCACAAGUCAGAUGACGAAGCACAAAAGUCAAAGUGUAAACAACUGCGGCAGAAAUUUCAACAAGCCAGAUUGUUCCGAUCUAUUCCACUUACAUAAAAUGUGCUGUAAACGCCUAGCGCUGCAUACACCCAUGAUAAACAUUUACAGCUAUGGAAAGUAGGUUAAACAAAUUCUACAGUCAGGAGUGUCAAACAAGGACACUGCACAGUUCGCAUAGAAAACCAACUAGUUUCUGGAUCUGUUCAACUUAACAAAUUACAGAACAUUUAGAGCCAGUGUUGGGUUACAAACAAGCACACAACACUACAACAACAGUUAAGUAACGGAUGUUUUUGUUUGCGCAGUUUUGAUCAAGUCAUGUUUCAAAUUCCUGCUCACACAUAAAAUACAUGCCAGCCCACCAGCUAGCGAUUUUAAGAAAAUCUGCACUGACAACCCUUACAAAAAACAGCUUUGAAAUAUUCCAUUGCGCAAGGUACUAUUGUCAACUCGGUAUCGAUACUACACUACAAAGAAAUCAAUACCAUUGGUUUAUGCUAUAUAGAUUGAAAAAAUAUAUUGUUACUUUUUUUUUUUAGUGUUUCCCCAUUGGUGGUCAGUACUUUUGACAAAAAACAACUUUGUUGUUGAAUUGCACCAAAAUUCACAGGACGUGACAAGGGAAUGCCCUAAAAUAAUCAGAAAAGAUACCAAAAAAAUCAACAGAAAGUGACUAGUAAAUGCCCCCAAACCCACAGAAAGGGACCCAAAAUGAACAGAAAGUGACCCGAAAAUUCCCCAAAAUCAAUAAGAAGUGACCAUUAAACAGGAAGGAACCCAGAAAUGCUCUAAAAUUAAAAGGAUAUGAUCCAAAAUGGGCAGAAGGUGAAUGUGGAAUGCCCAAAAAAUGUACCGGAAGUGACCCAGAAUGAACAGGAAGUGACCUGUAAGUCAUCCAACCCUAAAUUUAACAUGUAAGUGACCCAAAAUUAACUAAUUGCCUGUCUUUGACAACAAUAGACAUGCAAUUGAAUAAAACUGGGAUGCCUGGCUGUGAAUGCUCAUCUAUCAGUGCCAUUGAUGGCACUAGACGUCCAAUUCAUUUUGAUUGGUGGGGGGAUCUUCCCAGUCCAAAAGAAUUGGACGUGUAGCAUCGUCAAUAACAGCCAGUGAGUUCACAAGGAAAAUGAAAAAAUAUCCUUGAUUACAAUUACUAUCAAGAGUAGUACAAAAUCCAAUUUACUAUGUGACAACAAAUUCCUGGUGAUCUGUUGUAGUGCACAAAAAAAGCUAAGUAUAGAUACUUUUGCUAUCAAAUAUCGUACCUGGAUGCAACAUUUCAGUCUCGAUACUUUUGACAACCCAUUUUAUGUAUUUCAACUCCGAUGCUAGUUUGUUUGCAGUAAACAAUAGGACACCUACUAAGUGCUACUACAAGAAUUGCUAUCUGGACUUUUGACAAACUUGCCAAUGCCCAGAAUCAACAUUUGAAGCCAAACAAACAAUAUAUUAAUAAAGUAUUGCUUUUAUUAUUAAUUUCUGCCAAUUUCUCCAUAUAAACAAAAUGAAGUAUUUUCUACUUUGAACUGUUUCUGAAAAACUAUCUACGACCUUAAUUUUUAAUGAAGGAACUUAUUCGAUUAUUUUGUAUCUGCGUGAAAAUUACAGCCCCACUCCAAAAAUUACCUUACCUUACACUGGCGACAUGUGGUUGCGGUGCAAACAAUUUAUCUUCCUAGUUACCGUAAUUGUGAAAUUAUGGCACACUUUGGACAUUGUCAUUUAUGGACCGUUUCCUUCUGGCUUGGCACCAUCGUGCCAACCCAUUUCCACAUGGAGUAGUACAUAACUUUGGUCAGUUUGGUAAAACUACCCCUUGCAAUGCUUGAGGCACAGCCUCGAUCUUUUAUUGUUGCAGCCCAACUUGUGUCAUUUGAUCUUAACGUGAACACUUUCAUUGUUCAAUAUCUUAUCAGUGCAAUUUACAUAUGACUAAAUGACACAGGUUUAUGUUGUGUCAGGUAUAAACAUAUUUAUGUCACACUGCUGUUGCCAUAGUGUGCACUUCCUGUGGGUGUGGUAUUACAGUAUAAAAAGGAAUCUCUGUUAUGUCUCUGUGACAUAUAUGAUGAGAAGCACACUAGAGGUGUGCAAAAUUUCCGAUUCUUAGAUUAUUCGCGAUUCGGCCGUGGAAGAUUCGAGAACGAUUCACAAACAUCCAAAUUCCGAUUAUUGAAAUAUGCCAAGUAAAGCGGAAGUACAACACACUCAGCGCGCCGCGCGGUCAAUGAGCAACGGAGCGAGAGUAGCUAAACAUCAUGCUUCUCAUUACCCGGCCCCUCGGGUAAUGCCAAUGCUCACCUCACGGCUCUAGCUCAACUCAUGCCACGAGAUAAAAAAACACAACAACAUACCUGAAGCUGCUACAAAAGUACGUCAUCCACAUAAUGUUACGGUAGAUAUCAUUUAUAUAAGACUAGAUGCACUACGGUUGCGGUAGCGUUUGCAGCACAUCUACAAAAAGCUAGAUGCAGACGUAGUAAACGGCCGCCAUCUUAAAGCAGUACACUUCUCUGCAAGGCUGUUGUAGCGAACCUUCCAAGCAAACCUAAUUAACUUUUUAUCUAAAAUACUCCUAAAUCGGUAAAAUAUUGACUUGAAUCUAUCUUUAAAAUAGUUUUAAAACUUUCUCAUGUCGAAAGUUGACAAAAGGGAAAUUAUGGAUUAACGGGAGCAAUUUUAACAACUUUAACGGUUGAUUCACAACAUUAAAUUAAUUGAAUGUAGUUUAAAGCUGCUGAUACAGAAUGGGGACUGUAGUUUUUUAUUUACUGUUAUUUUUGUAUAUUUGUUUACUGCUAUAUGUUAACUUGAUACUGAAAUAGUAGUUUGGUUUAGCCUGAGAGUAUUUUUGAACAAUUUUGGAACAAAUGUACAAAAUAUUAAAAAAAAAAAAA